ACGCCCGUGACCUAGCCCGGUUAGGACGCCGCCCUCUCAAGGCGGAAACGGGGGUUCAAAUCCCCCCCGGUGGACCA
rnacentral:tRNA from 1 species